GCAAGUCGCACGAGAACGCUUUAGCUUGCUAGAGCUAGUAAAGUGGCGCACGGGUGAGUAACGCGUGGGUAAUCUACCCCUGAAUUUGGGAUAACGUUGCGAAAGCGAAGCUAAUAUCGUAUGACAUCUACAUAACUUUGGUUAUAUAUAUCAAAGAUGGCCUCUACAUGUAAGCUAUUGUUUGGGGAUGAGCCCGCGUACCAUUAGCUAGUUGGUAGGGUAACGGCCUACCAAGGCAACGAUGGUUAGCUGGUCUGAGAGGAUGAUC
rnacentral:rRNA from 1 species